GAUGAACGCUGGCGGCGUGCCUAAUACAUGCGAGUCGAGCGAACGGACGAGAAGCUUGCUUCUCUGAUGUUAGCGGCGGACGGGUGAGUAACACGUGGAUAACCUACCUAUAAGACUGGGAUAACUUCGGGAAACCGGAGCUAAUACCGGAUAAUAUUUUGAACCGCAUGGUUCAAAAGUGAAAGACGGUCUUGCUGUCACUUAUAGAUGGAUCCGCGCUGCAUUAGCUAGUUGGUAAGGUAACGGCUUACCAAGGCAACGAUGCAUAGCCGACCUGAGAGGGUGAUCGGCCACACUGGAACUGAGACACGGUCCAGACUCCUACGGGAGGCAGCAGUAGGGAAUCUUCCGCAAUGGGCGAAAGCCUGAUGGAGCAACGCCGCGUGAGUGAUGAAGGUCUUCGGAUCGUAAAACUCUGUUAUUAGGGAAGAACAUAUGUGUAAGUAACUGUGCACAUCUUGACGGUACCUAAUCAGAAAGCCACGGCUAACUACGUG
rnacentral:rRNA from 1 species